CCUACGGGGGGCUGCAGUGGGGAAUAUUGGACAAUGGGGGGAACCCUGAUCCAGCCAUGCCGCGUGUGUGAAGAAGGCCCUCGGGUUGUAAAGCACUUUCAGUGAGGAAGAACGCCUGGUGGUUAAUACCCAUCAGGAAAGACAUCACUCACAGAAGAAGCACCGGCUAACUCCGUGCCAGCAGCCGCGGUAAUACGGAGGGUGCGAGCGUUAAUCGGAAUUACUGGGCGUAAAGCGCGCGUAGGUGGCUUGAUAAGCCGGUUGUGAAAGCCCCGGGCUCAACCUGGGAACGGCAUCCGGAACUGUCAAGCUAGAGUGGAGGAGAGGAAGGUAGAAUUCCCGGUGUAGCGGUGAAAUGCGUAGAGAUCGGGAGGAAUACCAGUGGCGAAGGCGGCCUUCUGGACUGACACUGACACUGAGGUGCGAAAGCGUGGGUAGCAAACAGGAUUAGAUACCCUGGUAGUC
rnacentral:rRNA from 1 species